AUGGUUUACUGCCGGAAGAUCGGCCCGCGUCUGAUUAGCUAGUUGGUGGGGUAACCGCCUACCAAGGCGACGAUCACUAGCUGGUCUGAGAAGAUGAUCAGCCACACUGGGACUGAGACACGGCCCAGACUCCUACGGGAGGCAGCAGUGGGGAAUAUUGGACAAUGGGCGCAAGCCUGAUCCAGCCAUGCCGCGUGAGUGAUGAAGGCCUUAGGGUUGUAAAGCUCUUUUAUCCGGGACGAUAAUGACGGUACCGGAGGAAUAAGCCCCGGCUAACUUCGUGCCAGC
rnacentral:rRNA from 1 species